CACAUGGAGUGCGCCCGCAGCUCGCCAGUCGAUUGUCUGAGGUCUUUUUCUGGAGUCCUCAAACAUCACACAAUCUUCAGUGAAACCAUUCACACGCCAAUUAAUUUAAAUUCUAGCCAAACAAGCUGGAACCACACCUGCUGUUACAACACAUUCUACUCCUCUUAUACUUUGACUCACAGUUGUAAUGAUGGAGUAUGUUAAAGAGGAGAAUGAAGAAGAAUUGUGCACAAUGACAUAUGAUGAUGCUGAGGAAAAGAGAGAUGUGAUUGGAGUGACAGAGGACGGUCAAGAACACAGUGAGGACAAACAUCAAUAUCAUUAUCUCGUCACUGAAGAAAAUUCAUUCAGCUCCUCACAAACUGAUGAGAAUUCCCCUCAAAAGAGAACCGAAGCCAAACAUUCUUUUGCAUGCCCUAUUUGUGGCAAGAAUUUUUCACGCGAAGUGGAUCUUAAUGUUCACAUAAAGAUCCACGCUGGAGAGAGGCCGUACCUCUGCCCUCAGUGUGGAAAGGGUUACACACGUGAAAGGCAUCUUAAGGAACAUUUAAUAAUUCACACUGGCCAAAAGCCUUUCUCGUGCCCUCAUUGUAGAAAGAGAUUCAUACGUAAGCAGAGUCUUAAUAUUCAUAUAAGAAUUCACACUAGUGAUUGCCCUUACACUUGCCCUCAGUGUGAUAAGAGUUUCUCAUCCAAUUACCAUCUACAGACUCACUUACGAGUCCACACAGGAGAGAAACCUUAUACAUGCCCUCAGUGUGAGAAGAGUUUUACACAGCGAGGAAAUCUUUUGUAUCACAUACGAAUUCAUACAGGGGAGAGGCCUUACUUGUGCCAUUUGUGUGAUAAGGGUUUCACUCACGCACAAAAUCUGAAACUUCAUCUGUGGUGUCACUUGAAAGGGCGAAAGGCUGUUUAAAUAUCUCUUUAAUAUCAAAGAGUAGCGGGGGGCACAGUGGCGUAGUGGUUAGCACAUUCGCCUCACACCUCCAGGGUUGGGGGUUCGAUUCCCGCUUCCGACUUGUGUGUGUGGAGUUUGCAUGUUCUCCCCGUGCCUCGGGGGUUUCCUCCGGGUACUCCGGUUUCCUCCCCUGGUCCAAAGACAUGCAUGGUAGGUUGAUUGGCAUCUCUGGAAAAAUUGUCCGUAGGGUGUGAGUGCGUGAGU